rnacentral:rRNA from 1 species
CCUACGGGUGGCAGCAGUGGGGAAUAUUGGACAAUGGGCGAAAGCCUGAUCCAGCCAUGCCGCGUGUGUGAAGAAGGCCUUCGGGUUGUAAAGCACUUUCAGUGGGGAAGAAAGCCUUGGGGCUAAUACCCUCGAGGAAGGACAUCACCCACAGAAGAAGCACCGGCUAACUCCGUGCCAGCAGCCGCGGUAAUACGGAGGGUGCGAGCGUUAAUCGGAAUUACUGGGCGUAAAGCGCGCGUAGGCGGUCUGAUAAGCCGGUUGUGAAAGCCCCGGGCUCAACCUGGGAACGGCAUCCGGAACUGUCAGGCUAGAGUGCAGGAGAGGAAGGUAGAAUUCCCGGUGUAGCGGUGAAAUGCGUAGAGAUCGGAGGAAUACCAGUGGCGAAGGCGGCCUUCUGGACUGACACUGACGCUGAGGUGCGAAAGCGUGGGUAGCAAACAGGAUUAGAUACCCUUGUAGUC